AGAGGCAGCCGGGAGCCUGGGAAAUGGAAUACCCCUACACAACCAAGAUGCUGAGUUCCUCCCUGAGCCCGCAAAACGGCACCUGAGGCCUCGUCUGGUGGCUGGGCCCCAGUUUCUGGCCUUCCUGGAACAACACUGUCCAGUCACUGUGGAGACUUUCUACCCGACACUGUGGUGCUUUGAGGGACGGCUGCAAACCAUCUUCCGAGUCCUCCUGCAGUCUCAGCCUGUGGUCCCUUACCGGAGUGAAGUCCUCCAGACCCCAGAUGGAGGCCAGUUCCUUCUAGACUGGGCCGAGCAGCCUAACAGCACUCACUACCCGGACCCUACCACCCAGCCCAUAGUACUGCUGCUUCCAGGCAUCAGCGGCAGUAGCCAGGAGCCGUACAUCUUACACCUAGUUAACCAAGCUCUGAAGGAUGGAUAUAGGGCUGUUGUAUUUAAUAACCGAGGAUGCCGAGGGGAAGAGCUGCUG
ensembl:processed_transcript Abhd1 abhydrolase domain containing 1